GACGAACGCUGGCGGCGUGCCUAAUACAUGCAAGUAGAACGCUGAAGGAGGAGCUUGCUUCUCUGGAUGAGUUGCGAACGGGUGAGUAACGCGUAGGUAACCUGCCUGGUAGCGGGGGAUAACUAUUGGAAACGAUAGCUAAUACCGCAUAAGAGUAGAUGUUGCAUGACAUUUGCUUAAAAGGUGCAAUUGCAUCACUACCAGAUGGACCUGCGUUGUAUUAGCUAGUUGGUGAGGUAACGGCUCACCAAGGCGACGAUACAUAGCCGACCUGAGAGGGUGAUCGGCCACACUGGGACUGAGACACGGCCCAGACUCCUACGGGAGGGAGCAGGAGGGAAUCUUCGGCAAUGGACGGAAGGCUGACCGAGCAACGCCGCGUGAGUGAAGAAGGUUUUCGGAUCGGAAAGCUCGGUUGUAAGAGAAGAACGAGUGUGAGAGUGGAAAGUUCACACUGUGACGGUAUCUUACCAGAAAGGGACGGCUAACUACGUG
rnacentral:rRNA from 1 species